rnacentral:rRNA from 1 species
UGGGGAAUAUUGCACAAUGGGGGAAACCCUGAUGCAGCCAUGCCGCGUGUGUGAAGAAGGCCUUCGGGUUGUAAAGCACUUUCAGCGAGGAGGAAAGGUCAGUAGCUAAUAUCUGCUGGCUGUGACGUUACUCGCAGAAGAAGCACCGGCUAACUCCGUGCCAGCAGCCGCGGUAAUACGGAGGGUGCAAGCGUUAAUCGGAAUUACUGGGCGUAAAGCGCACGCAGGCGGUUGGAUAAGUUAGAUGUGAAAGCCCCGGGCUCAACCUGGGAAUUGCAUUUAAAACUGUCCAGCUAGAGUCUUGUAGAGGGGGGUAGAAUUCCAGGUGUAGCGGUGAAAUGCGUAGAGAUCUGGAGGAAUACCGGUGGCGAAGGCGGCCCCCUGGACAAAGACUGACGCU